GCUGGGCUGCCGGGCCCGCCCUGCUUCCCGGCUCUGUGCGCCCGGCGCGGCCCGCAGGAGGCGGUUACAGACCCCUGGCCCGGCCUGGAGAACGUGCGCUCCUGGAGGUGGACUCGCCACCGCCGCGCGACCUGGACCCGCUCACGUCCUGGGCCUGGCUCACAGCCUCGGGUGUCACUGGCGGCCCCGGCCGGGCGCGGUGGCCGUGCCCAUUCUCUCUCUCUCGGAGUUCUCCGGCUCCCCCUCCUUCUCCCGCCCGCCGCAGGCAGGAAGUGGAAAUCCAUGGGGUCCUCCCCCUGGUCUCCAGACACGUGGCACUGCCGCCCCGAGGCCCCAGGGAAGCCCCAGAAGCCCUGCGCACCCUCCAGGGCCCAGCCCCCAGGUCUGCGCUCAGAUCCCGGGCCUCUCACUCUCCACUGGGCAGCCCCCGGCUACGCAGCGCCUCACAGGAGCCAGGCGCCCACGGGAGGACAGCCGGGUGCUGAGAAAGAGGCCGUGCGGGCGGAGGAAGGCAGGACGCCCGCAGGGCUGAGCUCUCUGAGUCCUGAGCCGGCGCCACUCCCUGGGAAAUAGCAGCGCCAGGCCUCACCGGCUGGACCCCGGGCCACCGUGUGGGCGGGUACUGUGACAGCAGCGGGGUUUCCCCUUGGGUGCAGAAGGUCAUCAGGGGCCGCGGAAGCUAUCUGUGAUUGGACCCAUACACUCUACCUCAGCCCCGGGGAGGAGUUUUCACGUACAGGCUGACACUUCAGCUUCCCAGGGCCCCAGGAGCCGGGUGCUGGAGCUGUUUCCCAGAUGUGGAAACAGAUGAGCUGCGCUCCCAAACUCACUGCACCAAGCAAAUGGAGAAGCAAUCUGCUGCUAACCAACUCGGCCCCUCUGCCCACACACAUUCCCUGCUUGCUCAGGACAGAAGGGAAGAAUGAAAACGACACCAGAAUUAGUGCCCUGAGUUCAGGAAAUCCCAGCCCCCAGAGCCGGCAGGCUAAGACGGGUCCCUGCGUGAAUGCCAGCUGUCGGGGCGUGUGUGCCACAGUAUGCGCCCCCGUCCAGAUGGGCGCUGUGUGCUCUCAGCGUUGGAAUGGCAAGAAGGGCACCAGCUCGAGCUGUUUAAUUUUGCUCUUGCUUCCCGAUGGGCCUCAGCUUCGAUGACCAGUAUAAAGUUACUUGCCCAAGAAGCCAGGAAAACAUUUCGUGUCAAGAAGGAGCGGGGUGGAUGGAGCUGGCCCGAGUUUUGACAGAGAACAAGUUUCCACUUACGGCUGGGCUUGCCUGCCCCUGCUCUCACAGAAUGGAUCCCAGCUGUGCAGCCGCUGGCGGGCUCAGACAGCGCCCCCUCCGCAGUGCUGGCGCAUGCCGGAAGCGGGCACUGAGAACAGGUGGGCUGUGGCCAGAGGAGAAAACCUGACCGCUCACGCGGCCCAGACAGCUCAGCCCAGUCCACAGAAGUUUACAGGGCUCCUCAAAAUGAAGCGCAUCAGGAAAGAGAGCGACCCAGAAAGCAAACAUCCAGCCAAAAGGAAAGAACCCAUGAAACCGUUAGACGGUGCUCGAGAACUGCCUGGGCUUUGGGCUUCAGAGAAGUUGUCUGCGUCAUUAAGUCCUCAGUCCUCUUGGCCAGAACCUGAACCAAGAGUCUCAGAGUUCUAAGAUGAGAGUCUGCUUCUUGACAGUUCUCACGGAUUCUGUGAGCUCCCUCACACAUUCCCGGGGACAUCCUCUUCUGUGUAAAAGAACCAAAGUCUGUUUCGUAAAAGGAUCUCUCGUGCACCAACCCUCAUCCUCACAUGUGGAAGGAGCAGGAAUUCGCCUGGUCAGAAAGAAUUGAUCCAUCUAGCCAUAGUUUACAUACCUUGUGAAUCACCUUAAAUGUGCUCCAGAAGAAAGCAGUGUAAAUAAAUUAAGAAGAGCAAAUCA